GACUACUUUUCCCAUCGUGGCUCUGAUCUGCUUUUGGAAACGGAAGGAGACAGAGGAUAUGGAAUGGAUUGUUUACACCGAUGCAGUGUCGUCAUGGGAACCUGGCGGGGGUGGGGUCACGGGGCAUGAAGACAAGCCCCGCCCCCUGGGGGGCGAGGAGAAGUUAGAAGCACAAAAGUGGAGAAAGGCCGGGGAGGAUGCACGGUUAGGCAGGUGUUUACCUGGUGUCCUGCGAAUGCCACAUAAAUGCUUGUUGGCCGAGUACAAGGUGCAGACUGUAUCUCUGUGACCGUGUCACAGCACCCAGCACGACACCACCAGCAUGAUACAGUGGGUGGGUGGCUGGAGGAUGGAUGGACGGUCGGACGAGAGAAGGUAAAUGGUCACCUCUGACAUUUACCUUCAUUCCAAAGGAACUACAAGAAUCCUUUUCAGUGCACAAAAGCCCUGGUCAGAUGCUAAAACCCAGUGGACAGUGGAGUCUGUUCUUGUCAGUCCAAGCCCAGAACCUCAGAGCACCUGGCCUCCAGGAGACACAAGGGACUUGACACACACAGUAAGGCGGAGUUUAUUCUUCCUCACUUCUUGCUGAUGGGGAUGGGCAGGCAUCGCAAUGAGGUGAAGAGCUGUGCCUGGAGAAUCACCCCUUAGCGGACAGCAACGAUGUAAGAAUGUCGGAAUGACUGGGGCGUUCGGCUGGCGGAUGGAAGACCACGGAAUCCCAGCUGCAGUGGUUUUGCCCAUAGACCACCAGCCCUGACGACAUCAAUAGAAGGCCAUUGGUGGGCCGAGGAGGCUCCUGCUGAGAGUGAGGUUCACAUGGGACUCUGUUGGGCCCGUGCACAUUAUUGUGCUUUUCAAGUUUUUAUUUUGAAACUUCCACACAGUAAAAUGUUCUCUUUUUGGUGUACAGGUUUGACACUGAGGCAGAUAACCAUCGCCACACACACAGGGUACGGACAGUUCCAUCACCCCUCCGACUCCCGCAGGCUAUCCCUAGUCAAACCCCCUCCUCCACCGACGCCCCCUAAACCCCUGGUGACCAUGGAUCUGUUCUCCACCCCUACACUUUUGCCUUUUCCAGAAUGUCACAUAAGUGGAAUCAGUCAGGACGUAGCCUUUUGCAUCUGGCUUCUCCACAUGGCACAAUGCGUUUGAGAGGCACAUUAUUUUAUCAGCUUUGUGGGAAUACUCUACAGAGAGUUACUCAUCCAUUCUGCCACCCAGCCCCCUCUGGCCAGGGAGGUUUUAAAAAUGUCUGUCAACCCUCUGCAAGCUUAUUUUUGAAGGCGUCCCCAUAGCACUGCAAACAUAUUAAAAGGCAGCCCUUUUUCAUGUUCAAGAUUAUUUUUUUCCUAUAAUUUUUUUGAAAAGAUCUUUAGAAUUUGCUUUUGAAUUUAUCUGAUUUUGUGAUUGUCUGUGACUCUUCACUAAUUAUGAGAAACUGAUUUUUUUUCGGGUCUCAAACAUUUCUGUGGGCCCCUGAAAAGUCUAAGACCCUGGGCACCAUGCCCAAGUGCUUGACAGAGCCCCACAAGAACUCCAUGGCUAAAGGUAUCAAUCACAGUUCCAACCUACACCAGUGAGAGAAGGGAGUGGAAGACUGCUUUCUCUGAAUCAUCACAAUGCCCGUUCUAAACAAACAAAAAAAAAUUGUAUGGCACAGUUCUUUUUAAAGAGUUUAUCUCACAAACAUACAUACUGUGUACAAAUGUAUGUGCAAACGUGUUCACCACAGAAAUACCGCUCAUAGUAUCGGUAAGAGUCUAUUAAUAAGGGAUUGCUUCCACUGCAGCACAUCAUGUAGGGAGUACUAUGCAGCCACGAAAAAGGGCGAGGUAGAUCCAUACAUGCUAACACAUUGAGAUUUUCACUAGUGAAAACACAAGGUGCAGGAAAACAAUGUAGAGUCUGAUUACAUUUCUGUAAAAAUAAGUCAUUCUAGUUUAAAAUGUUAGAAAAUGCAUAGGAAAAAAACUGGAAGGCAUACACCAAAUAUAACCACGGUUACCUCCAAGGGAGGUUUUCUGUACAUAUGUGUGGUUGGCAGGGUGGGUGGGGGGGGCUUUCCUUAUUUACUUUGAUGAACAUGAAUUUUUUUAUACCAUGAGCAUAUAUUAUUUUGGUAAUCAGGAAAAUUCAGGAAGUAUUACUUUAAACAACCCAACCACAAGCAGAUGAAUUAAUGUUCUGAAUUUCCAAGCACGUUGAGGAUGAGCGUUAGAUUGGUCUUGGGUUAGCAGUUUCCUUGUCCCUUUCUCUCACAGUUAAAACCACCUAAGCAAAAACUCAUCCUUCCUUUUCUUUCUACAACCAAACUCUCUCCCACUCAGCAAUAAUCAUCCACAAAAACCAAGAUUAUGUUGGCUGAGAGGUUUCUGGAAAACAAGACUUUCACACAGGGAAGUUGAAAGAGUGCCUUGGUUGAGAAGGGAGUCUGGAGGGCCAAGCUAGCAUUCAAGUUCUGUGUGACAUCUCAAGAACUCCCAAACCAACUACCAUGUGUCUGCUCCACAGAGGCCCUUCCUGUCCAGGAAGACCCUCGAACACUGUGCGUCACCACGGCGAUAACAUGCUGUGCACAUAAACACGCACCCACGAAGCACCACGUCCACAUUCAUUCUAACGAGGUACUGGAUGCUGUCCCAGAGAUUUGGGGACCAACAGAAAUGUGCAGAACCACAAGUCAAAAGGACCUCAUGAGAGAGAACACCAGGAUGGUGACGGAGCUGGGAAGGGCCAAGUCCGUCCAUUCAGUGUCCCGUUGGC